CCCUUAGAUGUUCUGGGCCGCACACGCGCUACACUGAAGGAGGCAGCGUGUACUCCUGGAUCGAAAGAUUUGGGUAACCCGCGAAUCUCCUUCGUGCUAGGGAUUGAGUUUUGCAAUUAUCCUUCAUGAACGAGGAAUUCCCAGUAAGUGCAAGUCAUAAGCUUGCGCUGACUACGUCCCUGCCCUUUGUACACACCGCCCGUCGCUACUACCGAUUGAAUGAUUUAGUGAGGACUUCGGACUGGGACCGAUGCGGCUUUCGGGCUGCGUCGGUAUUCUGGAAAGAUGUCCAAACUGUAUCAUUUAGAGGAAGUAAAAGUCGUAACA
rnacentral:rRNA from 1 species